GCCAGACUCCUACGGGAGGCAGCAGUGGGGGAUAUUGCACAAUGGGGGAAACCCUGAUGCAGCGACGCCGCGUGUGGGAAGACGGUCCUCUGGAUUGUAAACCACUGUCCCCAGGGACGAAGAUGACGGUACCUGGGGAGGAAGCUCCGGCUAACUACGUGCCAGCAGCCGCGGUAAUACGUAUGGUGCAAGCGUUAUCCGGAUUUACUGGGUGUAAAGGGAGCGUAGGCGGCGCGUUAAGUCUGAUGUGAAAACCCGAGGCUCAACCACGGGAGUGCAUUGGAAACUGGCGGGCUGGAGUGCCGGAGAGGUAAGCGGAAUUCCUAGUGUAGCGGUGAAAUGCGUAGAUAUUAGGAGGAACACCAGUGGCGAAGGCGGCUUACUGGACGGCAACUGACGCUGAGGCUCGAAAGCGUGGGGAGCAAACAGGAUUAGAUACCCUCGUAUCG
rnacentral:rRNA from 1 species